AUGAACGCUAGCUACAGGCUUAACACAUGCAAGUCGAGGGGCAGCAUGGUCUUAGCUUGCUAAGGCCGAUGGCGACCGGCGCACGGGUGAGUAACACGUAUCCAACCUGCCGUCUACUCUUGGACAGCCUUCUGAAAGGAAGAUUAAUACAAGAUGGCAUCAUGAGUCCACAUGUUCACAUGAUUAAAGGUAUUCCGGUAGACGAUGGGGAUGCGUUCCAUUAGAUAGUAGGCGGGGUAACGGCCCACCUAGUCUUCGAUGGAUAGGGGUUCUGAGAGGAAGGUCCCCCACAUUGGAACUGAGACACGGUCCAAACUCCUACGGGAGGCAGCAGUGAGGAAUAUUGGUCAAUGGGCGAGAGCCUGAACCAGCCAAGUAGCGUGAAGGAUGACUGCCCUAUGGGUUGUAAACUUCUUUUAUAAAGGAAUAAAGUCGGGUAUGCAUACCCGUUUGCAUGUACUUUAUGAAUAAGGAUCGGCUAACUCCGUGCCAGCAGCCGCGGUAAUACGGAGGAUCCGAGCGUUAUCCGGAUUUAUUGGGUUUAAAGGGAGCGUAGAUGGAUGUUUAAGUCAGUUGUGAAAGUUUGCGGCUCAACCGUAAAAUUGCAGUUGAUACUGGAUAUCUUGAGUGCAGUUGAGGCAGGCGGAAUUCGUGGUGUAGCGGUGAAAUGCUUAGAUAUCACGAAGAACUCCGAUUGCGAAGGCAGCCUGCUAAGCUGCAACUGACAUUGAGGCUCGAAAGUGUGGGUAUCAAACAGGAUUAGAUACCCUGGUAGUCCACACGGUAAACGAUGAAUACUCGCUGUUUGCGAUAUACAGCAAGCGGCCAAGCGAAAGCGUUAAGUAUUCCACCUGGGGAGUACGCCGGCAACGGUGAAACUCAAAGGAAUUGACGGGGGCCCGCACAAGCGGAGGAACAUGUGGUUUAAUUCGAUGAUACGCGAGGAACCUUACCCGGGCUUAAAUUGCAGAUGAAUUACGGUGAAAGCCGUAAGCCGCAAGGCAUCUGUGAAGGUGCUGCAUGGUUGUCGUCAGCUCGUGUCGUGAGAUGUUGGGUUAAGUCCCGCAACGAGCGCAACCCUUGCUAUUAGUUGCUACGCAAGAGCACUCUAAUAGGACUGCCGUUGACAAAACGGAGGAAGGUGGGGAUGACGUCAAAUCAGCACGGCCCUUACGUCCGGGGCUACACACGUGUUACAAUGGGGGGGUACAGAGGGCCGCUACCACGCGAGUGGAUGCCAAUCCCAAAAACCUCUCUCAGUUCGGACUGGAGUCUGCAACCCGACUCCACGAAGCUGGAUUCGCUAGUAAUCGCGCAUCAGCCACGGCGCGGUGAAUACGUUCCCGGGCCUUGUACACACCGCCCGUCAAGCCAUGGGAGCCGGGGGUACCUGAAGUGCGUAACCGCGAGGAGCGCCCUAGGGUAAAACUGGUGACUGGGGCU
rnacentral:rRNA from 1 species